GUUUCGGUGUGGUGAGUGAAAUGGAGAAGGCUAAACUUUUUCUUCCCACAUGCUCACUUCCUUGCUUGUUCGCUAGCUGCUGCAUCUGGCCCCUCAAGGGUAAAGUCAAGGGGAAAAGGAGAUUGAGAGGAAGGACAGUCUGUGAAUUGGGUCUCACCGUGUUUCCCAGGCUGAAGUACAGUGUUGUGAUAUCAGUUCAUUGCAACUUCUGUCUUCUGAGCUCAAGCAAUCCUCUUGCCUCAGCCUCUCAAGUAGCUGGGACUGACUACAGGCAUGAACCACCACACCUGGCUAAUUUUUUUUGUAUUUUUGUCGAAAAGACAGUUUCGCCAUGUUGUACAGUGCGAGGGAUAUUUCUGCUGACAAUUCAACAUUCAAAGGGAUGAGUGUAUGACGUCUCUAAGAGAUGUCAUGGAGUGCAUGUAGAAGGGACUUUUUAUGGAGAACUACUUCUCAAAUCACUAUUCACAUCCUGGUAGAAGUCAAGCAAUGAAGAUGGCACAGAAACACAUCCCAAAUACUAUGAUACCAUAAAGUAUACUGUAGCAAUGCAUUGGCACACCCUCAUUUGAACAUUUGUCUCAGAAGAUUUUGACAGAAGAUAAAAUUGUCUGGUUUUUAUUUCAUUGGUUUCAUGAAAAUUUAUUUCACUGGUUUCAUGUCACAGGCCCAUGACUGUAUAAAGAGUCAUAAUCUUUACAAACACAACAAUGACUCACAGCGACAUGUUGCAAAGCUGUAAUCGAAAACACUGAUGUUGAUUUCAGAGGCCAUUAAUGGUGUUAAGAAGGCGCUUUUGUUAACCAAAUAAUUGAAUACUCGUAAUUACUUUUCAGUUCUAGUUCAGUUCUUGACACCAAAACAAGCCAUUUUCUUUACAUAGUGAAUGCAGAACUUGCCAGUAAGAACUUUCAUACUAAACUUCUAUGUAAAACAAAACAUGUCAAAAUCAGUAACUACUUUAAUGGAAUGGUAAAGAAUUUACUUAAACACAAAGGAAUGAAAAUAUCUCUGCAAAUAUGUCUAUUGACUUUUCAAAUUUGGUGACUUCUUUCGAAUUAAUUCCCUUACGUCUGUUCCUCAUCCACAUAAAAAUGACAAAAAUGAAAGAUAAUUUUCCAGCCUAUAAUUAAAUUUCUCCAUUGUUGGUAUAUGUUUUUUCAAAUACAUUUUUCAGUUUUCAUAAUUCAUAUGAGAAUUAUUAAAAGGGAGUUAGUUGCCUUUAGGACCUUAUUUGGAGCCUAAUUCUUAAAAAUUGUGUAAAAAUAAUUGUGACUUUUAAGAGACAAUUGGAAAUUUGAACCUGACCACAUUUUUGUGAUAUUAAGGAAUUUUAUUAAUUAUUUUCUAGGUGGGGGAAUGAUAUGAUGAUAUUCUUAAAAUAAUGUGUGGAUUGUUUAUUACAUUUCAACAUUUUCUUAAUCAUCAAACAUUUGUUGACCUUCUGCUGUAUCUAGAGCUCUGUGAUCGGGAUGAAGUAUGAGAUAUUAAGCCAUUACCAGGUGGUAGUUACUCUACCUCUGUUUGAAGUUCAUGCCCAGCCCAUUUGUUGCUUUAAAUUUGAGUUCAUUCUUGAGCAUGUGCCACCAAAUUCCAAGCAUUUUCAAAUGGUGAAUUACUUCUUACAAACUCAACGGAGUGUAUGUUAGCCGAUCUGAAGUAACCCACUUGAAGUGAUGCGCUGUGUCAACCUUAAUAUCACCAUCAAAUGAUCCCUAGGGAAUGCAACAUUUGGCUUAUUUCAUUUUUAACAUGUGAAUUUAGUUUAUAUCAAAGUAAUAUAAUACACAUAGUUUAAAAAAAUCAUAUAGUAUGACAACAACUUGAAAGAAAAGCAACAGAUCCUUGCAGGUUGCUCUUCUUCCUCCCCAAGUACCUGAGCAUCUGUCAUUGUCCUCCAGCAUAAGGCCGUCAGGAGCACACCUAUAAUUGAAUAAGCAGGACUCACUACCCAUUUCAGUGAGGGAAAACUCACACCACAGAGAAUCCUGGGGUGUCUCAGGUGAAGGAUGUUAAAAGGGACUUAUAACAGGAUUUGGGCUUUGGUUGGGUGACUCGACGGAAGUUUCCCGCUCUGAAUUGGAUGCUCUCUAAAAGUGGUUAUAAUCUGUGAUUGGGUAUCUCGAUAAGUCUUAUCCUUAGAGAGGGCAGACUAGAGUAAUGCUAAAGAUGCAAUUGUUAAGAAGCAGUCCUCAUUCGUAUUAGCUGAGAGAGGGGAAUGUUUCGUAUUUUGUGGCUUGAACAAUGCUCAUGUGUUUAGACAUGAUUGUAGAGUGAUUUUCAAUUUGUUUUGAUCCAUCAUAGUGCUGAUGUCAUGUUAAUUUUUUUUUUAAUGUUCAACAGAAUACUAACACCUAGCUGUGAGUACCAGGACAGCUGGUAGCAACCCCAAGGCUUUGCUGGUAGUGCCAGGCUAGCUCCUGGAAGUCAGAAGUUGCUUUGUUCUUUCCCAUGUCUUUUCCCAGAGGCAAUCACAUUAAACCUUUUAGAAGUUUCUUCUGGCACUUACCUCCAGAUUCCUAAUAGUUUUUCUUUGUUUUUAAAUGUUUGAUUUAUUUUUAAAUAUUUGACUUCCUGCUAUAGAAAUAAGACUUUUUGCUCUCUUGUAUCCACCCUGCUAUACACAUUUGCUAUGUACAUACCUCCUAUACUCGUCCUAAUAAUACACAUG
rnacentral:lncRNA from 1 species